GCAUUGGUGGUUCAGUGGUAGCAUUCUUGCCUCCCACGCGGGAGACCCGGGUCCGAUUCCCGGCCAAUGCA
rnacentral:tRNA from 1 species